UCCUGGGUGGCCUAGUGGUUAAGGAUCUGGCACUGUCAUUGCUGUGAUGCAGGUUUGAUCCCUGGUCCAGGAA
rnacentral:tRNA from 1 species